rnacentral:rRNA from 1 species
GAUGAACGCUGGCGGCGCGCCUAAUACAUGCAAGUCGAGCGAACAGACGAGGAGCUUGCUCCUCUGACGUUAGCGGCGGACGGGUGAGUAACACGUGGAUAACCUACCUAUAAGACUGGGAUAACUUCGGGAAACCGGAGCUAAUACCGGAUAAUAUAUUGAACCGCAUGGUUCAAUAGUGAAAGACGGUUUUGCUGUCACUUAUAGAUGGAUCCGCGCCGCAUUAGCUAGUUGGUAAGGUAACGGCUUACCAAGGCGACGAUGCGUAGCCGACCUGAGAGGGUGAUCGGCCACACUGGACCUGAGACACGGUCCAGACUCCUACGGGAGGCAGCAGUAGGGAAUCUUCCGCAAUGGGCGAAAGCCUGACGGAGCAACGCCGCGUGAGUGAUGAAGGUCUUCGGACCGUAAAACUCUGUUAUUAGGGAAGAACAAAUGUGUAAGUAACUAUGCACGUCUUGACGGUACCUAAUCAGAAAGCCACGGCUAACUACGU